rnacentral:rRNA from 1 species
UACGUAGGGUGCGAGCGUUAAUCGGAAUUACUGGGCGUAAAGCGUGCGCAGGCGGUUCGUUGUGUCGGCGGUGAAAGCCCCGGGCUUAACCUGGGAAUGGCCGUCGAAACUGGCGAACUGGAGUGUGGCAGAGGGGGGUGGAAUUCCACGUGUAGCAGUGAAAUGCGUAGAGAUGUGGAGGAAUACCGAUGGCGAAGGCAGCCUCCUGGGCCAACACUGACGCUCAUGCACGAAAGCGUGGGGAGCAAACAGG